rnacentral:rRNA from 1 species
UAUGAAAGCCUGGCCGGCAGGCCUAACACAUGCAAGUCGAGCGGUAGAGAGAAGCUUGCUUCUCUUGAGAGCGGCGGACGGGUGAGUAAUGCCUAGGAAUCUGCCUGGUAGUGGGGGAUAACGUUCGGAAACGAACGCUAAUACCGCAUACGUCCUACGGGAGAAAGCAGGGGACCUUCGGGCCUUGCGCUAUCAGAUGAGCCUAGGUCGGAUUAGCUAGUUGGUGAGGUAAUGGCUCACCAAGGCGACGAUCCGUAACUGGUCUGAGAGGAUGAUCAGUCACACUGGAACUGAGACACGGUCCAGACUCCUACGGGAGGCAGCAGUGGGGAAUAUUGGACAAUGGGCGAAAGCCUGAUCCAGCCAUGCCGCGUGUGUGAAGAAGGUCUUCGGAUUGUAAAGCACUUUAAGUUGGGAGGAAGGGCAUUAACCUAAUACGUUAGUGUUUUGACGUUACCGACAGAAUAAGCACCGGCUAACUCUGUGCCAGCAGCCGCGGUAAUACAGAGGGUGCAAGCGUUAAUCGGAAUUACUGGGCGUAAAGCGCGCGUAGGUGGUUUGUUAAGUUGGAUGUGAAAUCCCCGGGCUCAACCUGGGAACUGCAUUCAAAACUGACUGACUAGAGUAUGGUAGAGGGUGGUGGAAUUUCCUGUGUAGCGGUGAUAUGCGUACAUAUAGGAAGGAACAUCAGUGGCGAAGGCGACCACCUGGACUACUACUGACACUG